CACCGAUGCAAAGGCCCCAGUGUCUCCCUCCUGCCCACUAGCCACCCAGGACUCUGCCGACCCCACUGGGUGCUGAUGUAAUUACCAAUAUGAGGAUGAAUAUUUAAAGGAACUUUUAUUUAACCGUGUCCUUCCCUUGUGUGGGAUGGAAGAGAGAAGCAACUGGGUGUAGCUGAGAGUUCCAUGUCCUACGAAGUGAAUUCUCCAUUCAGAGGGCAGUACUCUCCUUGGCAAAACGGUCAGGAUAGUGUGUCUCCUGGACCAGUGACAUUAACCACCUACACCCUGAGCGGGAGAACAGGUGGGACUGCCAAUGACCUCCCAUACCAACUGGCUCUGCCAACCCC